UGGGGAAUAUUGCACAAUGGGCGAAAGCCCGAUGCAGCAACGCCGCGUGAGUGAUGAAGGCCUUCGGGUUGUAAAGCUCUGUCUUUUGGGACGAUAAUGACGGUACCAAAGGAGGAAGCCACGGCUAACUACGUGCCAGCAGCCGCGGUAAUACGUAGGUGGCAAGCGUUGUCCGGAUUUACUGGGCGUAAAGGAUGCGUAGGCGGAUUUUUAAGUGAGAUGUGAAAUACCCGGGCUUAACUUGGGUGCUGCAUUUCAAACUGGGAAUCUAGAGUGCGGGAGAGGAGAAUGGAAUUCCUAGUGUAGCGGUGAAAGUGCGUAGAGAUUAGGAAGAACACCAGUGGCGAAGGCGAUUCUCUGGACCGUAACUGACGCUGAGGCAUGAAAGCGUGGGUAGCAAACAGGAUUAGAUACCCUGGUAGUCCACGCCGUAAACGAUGAGUACUAGGUGUAGGAGGUAUCGACCCCUUCUGUGCCGCAGUUAACACAAUCAAGUACUCCGCCUGGGAAGUACGAUCGCAAGAUUAAAACUCAAAGGAAUUGACGGGGUC
rnacentral:rRNA from 1 species